CUUUUUCUAUCCUCUGUCUUUUUUAGUUCGAUCUCAUGGCUCAAGUAGCCCGUAUAAAAAAGCACCUCCGACAGCUGGAAGCACACUACCACCUGGGCCAGCAAGUACUUCUUCGACUAAACCUUGGCAAUCUGAUUUAUUGCAGUUGUCUAAAAUCCAACCUUCAUAUAGCACUGAGGAGUUGAAUCAAGAAAUGGCAAAUCUUGAGGGCUUGAUGAAGGAUCUAAAUGCCAUAACUGCCUCAGAAUUCGAAUGUUAAUGCCAGCCCAAGUCAUUCAUUGUAUAAUUAUGUAACAGAUCUCAAUUUUUCUAGUAUUCUCCUCUUUUAUUGAAACUGGAUAUGAUUUACUUCCUGGGUAAUCAAACCAGCAAUUUUUUUUAGACUACUUCUCUAUCUUGUCCAAUCUCUACGUUCCUGCCGUUAGUCUUUUAGGAUUGUUGAUUCUAAAAACUCUUAGAGAGUUUCCUAGUUAAGUCAGAGUAUUUAGCUAGUAAUGUCAGGUAUGAUAUUUUCUAUUGAAGUAUCGUAUGAUUGACGAAUACUAUUGAAAUCUAUUUUUAAAAAACAAGAUUAUAACUCUUUGUUUUUUAAAACUUACAUUAUCCUGAAAGAAGAAAUAUGAAACAAAUUUCAUCAAAAUAUGGAAAGAACAUACUGAAUCAAUAUUGACCCCUACUGACUGAACGUCCAAAAAAAAAAAAAAAAAAAAAACUUAAUAAAUAUUGGUUCAAUGUCACCUUAAUGGAUUACUGUCAUCAUUUUAGUGUUGGUUAGAUUUUGACACAAUAUUGUGCCAACAAAUUUAGACCUAAUAUUUCCUACAUAUUGUCGUCUACACUGGGGAUAUGAAGUUGUUUCAGUGUAAAAGAGCUAAUGUUUUAGUACGAGUGUUUUUUUUUUCUAAUGUAUGUAAGAUUUUUAUUUUUUGAUGCUUAAAAUAUUUAUGAUUUGAUAUUUAUCAAAGUAACUUUAACUUGAUUCCAUGAAGUAGCUUUGACAAUACAGCUGAUAAUCGUAAGAAAUGUGUUUAAAGAUCCACGAGACUAACAAAGAACCAUGAAUGAAAUUGAUGGAAGUAUUCAAAUGUUUAUUUUUUUAGUUCUUCAUGCAAGAUUCGAAGUCUGUGCAGGAAAAAACAGCAGCACGCAAUCUUAGUUCUAGAGGAGAUGAAUACUUUCAUGCUGACUAGCUGGUUCAAAAAUUAAAGUCUGACAUGUUUGUUCAGUCAGUGAAGCUCUCUCUCGUGGACUCAAAAUUUUGUGCUAUGAAAAUCAAAGCUCUUCAAAAAUGUUUUUUUCUGAGAUGAUCGAACUGAGCUUUACAUUACUUGUUGAUCUCGUGAUAAUUCUCUUAAUAUUUUGUACGUAGUUACUAUUUGAAAAUGGGUAGGCAUUAUAUAUGAAACAUUUCAUAAUCAAAGACCAAUAAUUCACUAGCAGCUUGUAGAGUAAAGACUCAUAGAAAAUGUGUAAAUUCUGUUUGAAUUCUUUAUAUAAAAUAGACUUUCCUAAUUAAGACUGAUUGUGUCUCAGACAUUUCCAUUUUUUUUCCCCCACUAAAAUUUUCAAAGUUUGCUGUAUCUUUCGCAAUUUGGUAAAAUGUAAUUGUCAUGGUCAUUAUCAACAAGAAAAAGAAAAGUAAACAAUGAAAAGAUAGCGGUAUUUUUAUAGUUAUUUUGUAAGCAAGCUUGUCGAGAUCACAAGUUGUAUCUUUUACAAUCGCCCAUAAUUCUCUUUUUUAUCUUUCUCAGGUUAUAUCUCAUUUCUCAUUCUUAAUUUUGGCUAGGAUUGAAGAUUGAUGCCAGUGCUCAUCACUAAUGUAGUUCAACUGAAAUCCGUAACAGCAUCUGUUAACUGCACAAGCUCUUGAAAAUUAUGGAGUUAAGUUCAAAAUAACCUUUAUUCCAAAAAAAGCCUUCCAAAUAGUGGUCCCUUUUUUGAGACCCGGAGAUUUCAGUUGUAUGUGGCUUAAAUGAAACCUUGUGAUGUUCUUUUCUCUCCUAGUUUAUUUAUUCAUUGUUUUCAGUUAAUUUAAUUUAUUUUGUAACUCUGCCUAGAGGCGAGUUGUUCUUCUCUAGCUGGUCCUGAGCCCAGGAAAACAAGGAGGGUUGUGCAUAGGGCUAGCAACCCUACUAUGUAGAAACACCCAAGCUACGAAAACCAAGACGAAGCUUUGGUACCCAGGCAAUAUACGUAUAAAUUGACUUAAAGGGAACGAAUCAUGGGAAAAAACCAAGGACAUCAUAUUAGCCACAUGGAAUGUAAGAACCACGAAGAAAGCAGGAAAAAUGAUGGAAAAAGCCAAAGAGAUGCAGAAAUGUGCCAUUGACAUCAUGGCUGUUCGAGAAAUAGAAUUCUGUUCUAUGCUUCCUUCUCCUUGUCAUCUGAUUUCUCAAACAGCCAUGAUGUCAAUGGCACAUUUCUGCAUUUCUUUGGCUUCUUCCAUAAUUUUUCCUGCUUUCUUCAUGGUUCUUACAUUCCAUGUGGCUAAUAUGAUGUCCUUGGUUUUUUUCCGUGAUCUGCUCUCUUUAGGUCGAUUUAUACAUAUGUUGUCUGGGUACCGAAGCUUUGUCUUGGUUCUCGUAGCUCGGGUGUUUCUACGUGGUAGGGUUACUAGCCCUAUACCUAACCCUCCUCUUUUUCCUUGUCUUAGGACCAGCCAGAGAAAAACAACUCGCCUCUAGGCGGAGUUACAAAGUAAAUUAAAUUUACUAAAAACAAUGAACAAAUGAAUUAGAAGAGAAAAUAUAAUUUAACAAAAUAAAUGUAAUUUUUAAAUCACCUACGAGGUUGUCUAAAAAAUCCAGGCGCUUUCAAAAGAGAGAAUUUCAUUUAUGAAAGAAGCAAUUCUAUCUUCCUUUCUUAUUAUUCUUACCAAAAUAGGUACAAGAAAUAUCUCAAAUGGAAGUAUAUCGUGAAAAAGCUUAAUUUCAGUACACAGUUGAGGCUAAUGCCCCCAACGAUUUUUCCACUCCAACUGGUCAAAGAUCAAAUAUAUUUUUAUUCUUUCAAUGCCUAUGGAUAGAAGUCAUCACUUCGGUUAGAAGUUUAUUUUCUCAGUGAUGGAGACAAAACUCAAAAUCUCUGUCAUUCGAAUCCACAAAUGGGUGCAAAGCUCACAACUUUAAAUUGUAAACUAUGUUUCUGUGAAAUAGGUGUACCUAAUUCGUCUAAUAUUUUAUCUUAUCCGAUCAGUAUUUAAGAAGCUUUAUACCAAUUUUGAUAAUAUGUAUUUGCUCAUAGCCUAUUUUUACUUGUGCUGACCACCUUUUCAACUGCCAAUGAAAACCUGCCUCAAUAAUAUAUAAGGAAGAAAAGAAAAAAAUGUAUAGGUAGCUGAGCAGCUACAUUUUUCAUGGGUGCAAUGUAGAUAAGUCAGGAUCCUCGAGAUUUCCUUAGGUAUGUAUUCAAUUCUCAGUUGCUGUUAAUGCUUGUAUCACAUCUACUAGUCACCUCUGUAUAUAUUUGGGGAGACUUAUUUGAAGCAAGUUUGCAUACUUUGUUACACAUGAUGUGCCAGUUAUGUAAUGCACAAGUUAGUUAUUGGAAAAUUUAGAAAUUGUUCCAUGUCAAAUGAAUUCCUGCAGAACUAAUAGUAAUGGUGCAUCAAAAACACAAGUGGGGGAGGUGCCCUACCGUUUUCUCCAAGAGUCACUUUUUUCUUCUUCUCUUUUUAAUGGUAACAUUUUACGGAAUCUAUUGUCUUCAUUGUGAAAUAUCUCUUGGGUAGAAACGAGCCCAUUAUGUUUCAUUCCUUUCCUUGACGAGAAGGAAGUAGAGUAAGAGUACCUAAAAUUACUAACUUGCCAGGAAAUUUCUUAUAAUUCUUUAUAAAAAGGUCAUCUGGUGCGCACAUGCUAAGAGCCUGAAAUGGCCUAAAAUUGAACUGUGUAUCACCACAUUUUAAAAGCCUUGAUAGUAAAAAAGUUGUAUUUUCAAAAUUUCUGCUAGGUCCUAGGUUCAUGGCCCGGAAAUGGCAGCAUGAAGAUCAUUCAUUACCCCUCCAAAAUUGUACUGAAGUACUUCCUUUCUUCUCUACGUAACACUUUAAAUUCUUCAAUGAUGGGAGUGAGCCUAGAGGGAGCGAUAGAAUGAAGAAAUAGUGUUGGCCUCAUGAGCUCAUGCAUUUUGUAAAAAAAUUGUGUAAUUGUUUGUAAUUAUCGCAUAAAUUCUGUAAAAUAUUGUGUUUAUUUCAGUAGUUGGCGAGUGUGUCAACACUUCAGAAAAAUGAGUUUCCUUGAAAGAAAAGAAGAGGAAGUACGAAAAAAAAUUCUGAAAGUAUUCUGCCCAUCAAGAUCUAUGUAUCCAAAUCUUUUCGUUUAAAUUUUG